GAUGAAGAACGCAGCGAAAUGCGAUAAGUAAUGUGAAUUGCAGAAUUCAGUGAAUCAUCGAAUCUUUGAACGCACCUUGCGCCCUUUGGCUAUUCCGAAGGGCAUGCCUGUUUGAGUAUCAUGAACACCUCAACUCUCAUGGUUUGCCAUGAUGAGCUUGGACUUUGGGGGUCUUGCCGGCCUAUGGGUCGGCUCCUCUCAAAUUAAUCAGCUUGCCAGUGUUUGGUGGCAUCACAGGUGUGAUAACUAUCUACGCUUGUGGUUUUCCAUCAGGUAACCUUCAGUGAUGGAGGUUCGCUGGGGCUCAUAAAUAUCUCUCCUCAGUGAGGACAGCUUUUUUGAACGUUUGAUCUCAAAUCAGGUAGGACUACCCGCUGAACUUAAGCAUAUCAAUAAGCGGAGGA
rnacentral:misc_RNA from 1 species